AUGUGCUUGAGCAGGCAUUUGGACCUAGGAUGGCGGGUGCAACAUCUCGGGGAGAAUCAAGUCGUCGUAAUGGCAUCUCUAGCCAGAACAGUUCAGUUGGUGCACGGCGACGUGGUGGCUCGACAAGUGUGGGCAACAGCAGUAGGGUCCCCCUUGAAGUGGAGCCUGAUGGCUACAAUUCUGGGGUUGAUGAAGAGAAGUUAUAUUCUGAUGUUAUUCAGAAUUUACGACGGGCACCUAGGGCUGAAAACCAAGAUGAGGCUCACAAUGCAGUCCGUGUGGAUGAUGACGCGAUGGGUGAGGACGAAGACCUUGCAGCUGUUCAAUGGGACCCUUUGA
rnacentral:rRNA from 1 species